UUCUCACCUGAGAAGAAUGUGAGCACCACUGCCACCCAGCCCAUUAUGUAGGACCAGGAGAACCGCCAGCUGCCAUAGCGUUUACCGUAGUAGUUCACUGUCACUCCUGUGUACACAGCCAUGGCCAGCAACACAAAGAAGCCUGCACAAGAGAACAAGCCUCCAAUUAGAAAUGAUGUACGUCUUCUCAGACUGAGGUUCAGCUGUGUCUGAGGAGCUCACAGGAGAUGAAGAAGAGGAUGCCCGCUGCAAAUGUCUUGUCAAAGCCGUCAAAGGAGGAGUAGUGGAUGAAGGCCAUGACCCCGAUCACGAUGCCAAUGAAACAGGCCAGCAGGGAGAGAAUCAUGAAGGCACGAGUGGCAUCCCAGUACGCUGAGGGUGAGAGGAGGAAAAAGAGUGAGGCCUAAGAGACCAGACAUUUGAAGGCACACAGUACCGCCACAGGCCCUGGUGCAUGUAAUUGCUGGAGUGACGGUACUGCAUCCAGUAGUCAGUUGCCGUGGAGACAAUAAGGAGUAUGUUCCCGACUCCAGCGCAGAACAACCCACCUCCCAUGAAGCUGUACAUCCUGCCAAAAAAAAACACUGACUGACAAACAGAGAGAGAUGAGAGCGGGUGAGGGUCUUGCAACACUUGGCCCAUGCAACACUUUCUGUUACAAAGGAACAACUGGAAGAACAGCCUAAAAUUAUCCAAAUACAUUCAGCAGGAUCACAUGAAUACAUAUAUUAGUUAACCGAGGUUGGGCCAAAAAAAGAUUUUUUGAAACUUAUUUUUUCUCUUGUUAAACCAACCAGGUUUCCCAAAUUACCAAACAUAUACACCGAAUAUGAGGAAAAAGGUCUGAAGUAAUGUUAAAAACAAUUUGACUUUUAUUCAAAGUUGCACCCAGAAAAAAAAACAUUUUUGGUUUUGAAAGUUUAUAAUACCUGGGGUUUUUCCAAUUUUAAUUCACUUAAGGACCUUUUUUUUUUACAAGGGGUUUGCUGACAACUCUAGCGAUAAAGAAACACUUUGAUAGUCUUUCUAAAUAUACAAAAUUUCACACAGGUAUAAAAACAACAUUUUAUGCUUUUAGUUUUUGGGGUUAUAAAUGACCUACCUUUAUCUUUUACUCAGAAAAAGUCAGAGAUUCCAAUUUUUGGGGUUGUCAAAGCACCGAGGAGCCCGAUAUUGCCGUGUGUGGCAGGAAAGUUUUGUUUGUACGAAGGAAACCAAGCGAACAAGCGGCCUGAUGGAACAAUGGAGCAUGCUGAGCCACAACCAAUCACAGAGGAUGAGUUUUGUGUUUUAGGGAAUCUGCUGAAAAUACAAAACUGUUAAAGCGCUGCGCACAUCUCAGUAAUUCUGAUGACACAGGGCCUUUCAUUCAAACCACUGUACACCCCACACACAGUAAACUCAGGGCCUGCAACAGGCUAAGCCAAUGUCAGUGCUGGAAAAGUUGCAUUUAACAGAGACUACUUUUAAUAGUGAAAAAUGUCUUUCAUUCAUUCUAAUUAUGUUUAGCUGAUGUGUUUUUGGAAAAUCAUUCGGUCAAUUAUACAGUUAAGAAAAUCAGCAUUAUUUUCAUAGAAAAUUAGGGUCAGUUCUGGCUUUUAAAACAUUUUUCUGGACCAAGUUGUUAAAAUAAUUUAAAUACAAGGUGUGCUGUGUUUUAAAUUUACAUAAAAUCAAUCACGUUUUUUUUAUGUAUAAAAUAAUGAAAGCGCCUUCGCUCUCUCAUCAUAACAAUAAAACAGAACUGAAGGGUUUGUCAUCGUAGAUUUAUUCUCAUAUAUUCAAAGUCCACUAAGCCGAUGAAGGAGAAUUUAUUUAAUUAUAGAUAAAACGUGUUCAGACUCAUUGACAUUUAAAUACAUGUAAUGGUUUCUUUACAACAGUUCAGUCACAGGACAGUGGGAAGACUUAAAGCAAAAUUAUGCUUUUAUUUUAUUUAAUGGAGUGCUACUACAUCUUUGGACUACAUAUAAUUAUCACCACCUUUGUAUAAGCCAGUAUAAGGUCACUCCUGUCUGACUUCUUGCUUCUCUCGUUCCCUUUUCUCUUCUUAGCUGCUUCCAUCAAUGUCAUUUCUCUCAGUCAUUUUGUCCAUACUAACAACAAAACUAAAACAACUAGAAGUUUGUCUUUACAUCUUUCUGACAGACGGGCAUUCUGUGUGUCUCUUGGGAUAGUUACCAUCAAUGCCAGCAAACUAGUAUAAGAUCAGGCAUUUAGGACCGUGAAUAAAAGAAACACCAUUGUCCCUCAUUACAAGCAAGUGCACACUCAAACUUUGAAAUUAUUUUAAGGUUAAAAAAAAAGUAAAAGUUGGGUAAUGUUUUCUCUUGGCAGAACAGAGAGAGAUGAGUUGGCAGGUGUGAGGCUGAUAAGUGUCGUGGGUUUGAAAAGUUUCAGCAAAGAAGCUGCAUAAUGAUAAAAUAAAAUAAUGAAAGUGAUUUAUCUUUGUUGCCACUUCUUGUAGAGAGUGUGGGAGUUGAAAAGACUAAGAAAGAUGGAUUUCUUUGUUGUGUUGGAAGUCAUAAAGAAGGCCAGUUUGUGAGGAAUUUUUCAGAGAGCUUUGAUUGAAUCAGAAAAGCAACUCGAUUUGUAUUUCAGACCAGUCUCCAAAAAAGAUAGAACAUAUUUUCUUUAUUUCCAUCACCAGGUCAUAAAAAGUAAAUAUGUCUUCUGAUUGAGUCACAUUAGUCUGAAGCAAAUUUUAAAACCCGGCUCACAAGUUUUUUAAUGGCUAAUUUUGGAGUGUGUAAAUGUUUCACUGCAGAGUAUUUUAUCAUCAUCACAUAAUUGUUCUUUUAGUGUGUAUUGUGGUGCACUGUUAUGUUUUGUUUUUGCUUAACAUGAUCUCAUCCCCCUCCUCCUCCUCCUCCUUCUUCUUCUUCUUCUUCACCUUCUGGACUGUAUUUGUCUCUUUUUCUCAUGUCUGUCCUUUCUUAUAUUUCGUUUAUUACUGCUGCCAUUUUGGCCAGGCCUUGCUCGAAAAAGAGGUCAUUUGAUCUCAAGCAAUUCUUGCCUGGUAAAAUAAAGGUA